CUUCCGGGGACUGUGCCAGGACCCCCCUUCCACAUUGACGGCCCCUGCGUCUCGGUCCUGCGCUGGGACUUCACCGCUGGCUGGCCAGGUCCCUCUAGCACUGACUAAAUCUGGUACGGGUAUACCAAUAUAUUGGAGUGAUCCAAUAUAGUGAAACAUAAAAGGUUACAUAUGUAACCACGGAUAUGUGAGCUAUAUGGAUCACUCUAAUCCUCUACAGUACUAGAGGAGCCUCAAAAGGAUGUAGAGAACGUGUCACGGCCAUGGAGUCUAUAUAUAGGGGCAGACCCCAGCCGUGACACAGGUGUACGCGGGAGUAAAUCUGUAAAUCUUCACCUCGGAUGUAUCCCUCCAGAGUGAUACCAAUAUAUUGGAGUGAUCCAUAUAGCUCACAUAACCGUGGUUACAUAUGUAACCUUCGAUUUGGAAGCUAGCUACUGCUGGAGGAAUGAAGCGCUUGCAAUCUUAAUCAGUCAACUGACGUGUUUCAUGUGUGAACACAUGGAGUGAACAAGACAAGUGUGUUCAUGGCUAGCUAGUGGCAAACUUUCCCAGUUGAACAACGUUUUGACUGCAAGGAUUCGCUUUCGACUACUUGCUAGCAAAGAUCCGGUAGGGUUAGGGUUAGGGUUGGUGGUGAGCAGCUGGCGCCUGUGACGACGAAGACUGAGGACCUGUUCAUAACAAAGUUAAGCAUAGUUAUUUGUCCUAUACCUCUGAGUUCACAGCCAAACUAUUUCAGCAUUCCUUCAAAAAACAACAUUAUGCUUAAGAACUAAUAAUGUUAUGCGAUAUACUUCAUUACAUUCAGUACAUAACAGGCAGAGAGUGACAAAGAGGGUCUAGAAGAUACUGUGCAAAUGAAAUGCAGGUUGUGAAAAUUAGACUUGUACUUUGUAUGAACAAUUCAUUGCCAAGAAAUGAAAUCUUGGAUCUACUUUUUUUUGUGUGUGGAAUCAACCCUUUUUGGGUGAAUUUGGAGGUGUUUGGCGCUGGGUUGUGAUCAGCGUCAGACUCAUUCGGUUUGAUCAAAUUUAGGAUUUUGCCUGGGAAUGACAGCAAGCAUGAAGUUUUCAGAGUACGAGUGUUAAGAUUCCUUUUUAUUUCAAAUACUAAAUCGUACUUUCUCUUUCUCUGGUGAGACUCUGGCUCUGUUUCCAGGCUUGAACGUUUUUCUGCUCGAAUCAGGCACUCAUGGGCUUUCUCAUAAAUCUGAAACAUCACGGAACAGGAGCUUAUCAGUUCAUCUGUAAAUGUCUGCAAACGAGACGUUUAGAUAUUCUGUUAAAGUACUCACUCUUUGUCUUCAGUAAUUGAAUUGAAUACACCUCCAAUGUAUCAAUGUCCGGCCGUUCAUGUGACAUCACGGCCUUCCUUAACUCCUCUUGGCUCUUGUAUGGAGGCCAGUAACAUUUGUCCUUGGUGCACCAGGUUUUUAAGAUGACAGCUGAACUGUCAUCUUCGUUCUGGAAAUUAACCACAGCAAACAUGGUACUGUGAACUAAAAAGCAAAUAAGGGUACACAAUUAGAUUAGUUUACUCAAACAUUUCACAAUAGUAACAUCUAAUUGUAGGAGUUUAAGAAAAUCCCUUCAAGUAAAUACUACAUUUUCUGUUAUGUCUUUUACUGACAAUUUACCUUAAAGAGAACGGGGAAACCAAUAGAAAUAACAUUGGUGCUUUGCAUCCUACAAAUGGAGUAAUGGCAUCCCAGCAAAGCCCUCUUCGCAAGAGAGUAGAACAAACUUCUGAAGCACUUUUGUGGCAGGAGUGAAAAAGAGGUUCAUCUUUCAAUCCAGAGAGAUGGAAAAUAUCAAGCGGUGAUGAUGGCAGGGGAUAUGCGAAAAGGUCUGUCUUGUUCCUAAAUGUUUUGUACACCGUGGUAUGUUCCUCCACCACAAGGUUUUGCACUAGGACAAACCCCUUGUUCCUCAACUGGACACAGUUAUUUCCAGUGGACAUCUGCAUGGAGAAGUGAGUGAGCUGCAUUUUGUUUUCAGCGGACUUUCCUGCCAUAGUUAUCAGUUUCCGUGUAACUCUCAAACAUACCAGGAGCAUUUUGUCAAGAGGAAACGACGUCACCAAACCAUUUGACAAUGAUCCUAAAGGUGUUGUCUUCUCUCAGUCAUCAGUCAAAUCAUCAAAAGUGUUGUGGUUGGACCUCGGCUGUUGUUUCUGGGAAGGUCAUACGAUUCAGGUAGUAGACUCCCAUUUGAUGGCAUUUGUCACAGCCAUAGUAGCCAUUGUGACCUUUUGCAUUUCUGACAAAGGCCCUUGCUGGUGCAUCACAAAUAAUGAUUUGAGAUUUGGACUUUAAGAUUUCUGUCUCCAAAAAAACACCUUCAGUUUCCAGCUGCUGCAUUUCCUCAAGUCAUGCAAAAAAUCAAGACGGUUUGGUUUCUUCUUUCAAUUUGAUGGCCUUUGUAUAGAGGAAGGCCACCAAAAUUGAUUUGGAGGGACACUGACUCAGACAACCUUGUAUGAACAGAUGUUGUAAGGUUGGACGUUACGUUAGCUAGUCUAUAACGUUAGUGUCCGUCAACUAACUUCCAAGUCCCUAAUGUUCAUCCUGAAGGUAUUGAAUUAUUGACACAUGACAGUUCCUAGUAUCCCUGUUAACAUUAACCUUAGCCAUACUGUUUGUCAUGAUAUAACAUAUUUUAAAAAAUUAAACGUACUUUUAAUAACUCCAACUCUCAAUUUUUAGGUAACAUCAACUCACCUUGGCUUUAUACUGAGACCACAGAGACAGAUGCGUAAGCAAGGUGAUCCAGAUAAGCUGUUCCCUCCAGAGGAUUCCACAGGACAAUGUUUAUAUGUGUACCACACAGCCAGACUUCUCUCUGCUGUCUGGAUCCUGAACGAUGUUGACAACACUCAACCUCAAACUCCACUAGCUCAUGCGCCCCACAACAUUAGACAUGAAACCUUCCUGUCCAUCCUCAAUACCUUAAGCAAUAGACACACAAUGAUAUCCCCAUAGACAUGUAGGGUGGUUUGUGCCCAUAUUCAGUUUAAAUGAGUUGCCUGGUUGGUGUCACGCCUUGGUCAUUGUAUUUUGUUAAUAGUUUGGGUAGGCCAGGGUGUGACAUGGGUAUAUAUGUUGUGUUUCGUAUUGGGGUUUGUAUUAUUUGGGAUUGCGGCUGAUUAGGGGUGUGGUAUAGGUUUGGCUGCCUGAGGCGGUUCUCAAUGAGAGUCAGGUGCUUCUCUUUGUCUCUGAUUGGGAACCGUAUUUAGGUAGCUUGAGUUCGCGUUGUAUUUCGUGGGUGAUUGUACCUGUCUUUGUGUAUUCACCAGAUAGGCUGUAUAGUUUCACGUUCCGUUUGUUGUUUUGUAUUCUCACAGUUAUUUCAUGUAUCGCUAUUUCCUUUAUUAAAGCACAUGAGUAACCUACACGCUG